rnacentral:rRNA from 1 species
AGAGUUUGAUCCUGGCUCAGGAUGAACGCUAGCGGCAGGCUUAAUACAUGCAAGUCGUGGGGCAGCACAGGUAGCAAUACUGGGUGGCGACCGGCAAACGGGUGCGGAACACGUACGCAACCUUCCUUUAACUGGAGAAUAGCCCGGGGAAACCCGGAUUAAUACUCCGUAACAUUAUGAAGUGGCAUCACUUUAUAAUUAUAGCUCCGGCGGUUGAAGAUGGGCGUGCGUCUGAUUAGGUAGUUGGCGGGGUAACGGCCCACCAAGCCUACGAUCAGUAACUGGUGUGAGAGCACGACCAGUCACACGGGCACUGAGACACGGGCCCGACUCCUACGGGAGGCAGCAGUAAGGAAUAUUGGUCAAUGGACGCAAGUCUGAACCAGCCAUGCCGCGUGGAGGAUGAAGGUCCUCUGGAUUGUAAACUUCUUUUAUUUGGGAAGAAACCCCCGAUUUCUAUUGGGGUA